rnacentral:rRNA from 1 species
CGCGUAGGCGGCUUGCACCGUCAGAUGUGAAAUUCCUGGGCUUAACCUGGGGGCUGCAUUUGAUACGUGUGGGCUUGAGUGCGGAAGAGGGUCGUGGAAUUCCCAGUGUAGAGGUGAAAUUCGUAGAUAUUGGGAAGAACACCGGUGGCGAAGGCGGCGACCUGGUCCGUGACUGACGCUGAGGCGCGAAAGCGUGGGGAGCAAACA